UAUAAAGAAAGUCAUCAAUCCCUCAAAAAUCCCAAUUCCAAAAUUGAACAUAAAACUAAUAUCGUUCAUGGAGACGCAGCUCCUAAAAUGACUGAAAAUAAAAUAUAAUCAUUAUUAUUAGACUCUAGCCCACUCCAAUCAAAUCCAACUCCAAAGCCGUGCCAAUAACAUUAACCUGAAAUUUGUAAGUCGUGAGCUACACAGCACAGUAAGAAAACCAAUUCGACCAACAGACCAAAAACUUUUAAAUCCUGCUAUAGUUCACAAUUUCAUAACCAAGAAUCAUAAACCAUUAUUUCAUAAAGUAAAUUCCACAGUUCUCUAGGCCACUAAUACCCGGGGGCACGGUAUCAUAAGUUCAUAGGUGUCAAUAAUGCGCCCCUUACUAAGGUAUCAUAAAUGAUGCCAAGCACGCCCUAGUAAGGUAUCAUAAUCUAGUUCCGGAACUAUACGCAAUUACUAACAGGUUCAUAAUUCAUAGCUAGUUGGGAAUUCCUUAUAUCUAAAAUAUUUUAUCAAUCUCAAACUUUCACAACAAAGCAGUAUAAAGCAUUUUAAACAAUUCUGAAAGUGCGAAAAGUAAUCUUACCUUAGCAAAACAAUCACUUAUAACUCGCAGCACUGAACCCUACACAAAUUUUUAAUCAUAAAAAUAAAGGAUUAUC
rnacentral:lncRNA from 1 species